UCUUCGAUAGUAUAGUGGCUAGCAUCUCCCCCUGUCAUCUCUGACGGGAUCGUUCGGGGAAGACCCGGGUUCAAUUCCCGGUCGAAGAG